rnacentral:rRNA from 1 species
UAGGGAAUCUUCCACAAUGGACGCAAGUCUGAUGGAGCAACGCCGCGUGAGUGAAGAAGGUUUUCGGACCGUAAAGCUCUGUUGUUGGUGAAGAAGGAUAGAGGUAGUAACUGGCCUUUAUUUGACGGUAAUCAACCAGAAAGUCACGGCUAACUACGUGCCAGCAGCCGCGGUAAUACGUAGGUGGCAAGCGUUGUCCGGAUUUAUUGGGCGUAAAGCGAGUGCAGGCGGAAGAAUAAGUCUGAUGUGAAAGCCCUCGGCUUAACCGAGGAAUUGCAUCGGAAACUGUUUUUCUUGAGUGCAGAAGAGGAGAGUAGAACUCCAUGUGUAGCGGUGGAAUGCGUAGAUAUAUGGAAGAAUACCAGUGGCGAAGGCGGCUCUCUGGUCUGCAACUGACGCUGAGGCUCGAAAGCAUGGGUAGCGAACAGGAUUAGAUACCCUGGUAGUCCAUGCCGUAAAACGAUGAGUGCUAAGUGUUGGGAGGCUUCCGCCUCUCAGUGCUGCAGCUAACGCAUUAAGCACUCCGCCUGGGGGAGUACGACCGCAAAGGUUGAAAC